AAUAGCAUCAGAGCACAGAUGCCGGUGAAGCAACAGACCCAGCAAGGACGAUGGGAAACUGACCAGAUAAGUCCUGAAGUCCCCAUUAGCACCGUCACUGCCACCUUGACGAGUUCCACUUAGGAGCAGCCAGAGCAGCCCCUGCCAGCAUCAGGAAAAGCCCAGUGGGGGUCCCCAGAUGCUGCGAUUCUCAGCCAUGACCCCAGAAAGUGGGUGAAACAGCCUAAACCUGUUCCGGCUGGGAGGAUACCACCUGAAACUCGUGCCCAGCUGGCGGUUUUCUAGGAGGCUCCAUCCAAGGGAUUUGAAUUCCCACAAGCUCUCCUCCAUUUAACAAGAUUCAGAGUGAAAGUGAAAAUGAGCCCCAAGCCCAGCCAUCGCGUGACAGCUGUGGUCGAAAGCUGCCGCUGUGACUGUCAGCUCCUCGGGCUGUGUGCAGAGCCUGCCGGGUGGUCCCAAGGGUCAAUCAUGGGGCUGGAGCUUGGGGAGGAAGUGCUAGGGAGAAGAGUGGUCUUCCCACGGUGCGGAUGAAGAGACUGGGGCCUGGAAUGUGUGUGGUACAGAGGUUGAGACCGCGUCAGCCUGCCCCAUCUUCAUCAGGCCCUCUGACACAACAUUAAGGGCAUGGCAAGGAGUCAGUUGCUCUGUGAGCCUAAACCUCAUCCCUCUGGAGGUUUCAUCUCUGCUCUGGCUAAGAAAUGAUCUGACCUUGGCGUUAAUUAUUCCAAACGAUGGUGCUAAGGAAAGAGAACCACAGAUACAAGCCACUCCUGUGACAGCCGCCUCCUGUGGGCAGCCUGACCCUCUGCAGUGCAGAAAUGGAAGGACACUGGGCGGGCCCAGAGAUAUUUUUGUGCCUCCUUUGGGAAGACUCUUUGGAUGUAGCCUGUCCACAAUAUACGGGCACCUUAUGAUGCCUUGACUGUGCCAGAGACAUUUCCCCUGGGUGCACGAUGGUCCCGUUUACCACUGCCACAGCACCUCGAGAGGCCACAGCACACUGUGGCUUUGAAUGUGGACCUUGCAGACCAAGAGGUCAGAUUCCUGACUCCAACACUUGCAGCCGUCCAGCCUUAAGCAAGACCUUUAAGCUCUCACAACCUGUUUCCAGACCUGAAAAUGGGAGUAACGAUCACCUGUAACUCAUGGUGGCCUUGACCGAAGUCAAUGACAGAAAUCUGCACACAAGCUUGGGCCAGUGCUCAACGAAGGCUUGCUGAAGUGCACAGCAGAGUGAUAUUCUGAGCAAGAGUCCACCAGAAGAAUGGGUAAGUACAUGCAAAUUGCUGAGUCUCUUGUUUAUUGGAUCCAAAAUGAAAGUCACCAGCAUGCUGUAUAACUCAAGAAAAUACGAGAGAGAGGGAAAAGCAACAUCGCAGUCUGACUACAAGAGGUUUCCAGUAAGUACUGCAGCCAAAAAUCCCCGCCAGCCAAACAAUCUUUUGCAAGAUCUGUAUCAGAAAGUUGAAAGCAUGCAUUACCUGUUAGGCUCUGAAACAAGGGUACAAUUCAGGGGUAAUACAAAGGAUUUUCUUGAGAGUGUCUUAAUUCAGAACAUGUUCCCCGAGUUUUCCUUCUGCCCUGGCCCCAAGCUUCUGGCUGCUCUGCCAGGCAGUUCUGAAACGCUCUCCUUUGAAGCAGGGAGUUUAUUUUGGGGCCACCGCAUGACCAACGUUGACAAGCCAAACUAUAAGAUGUUAUGCAUCUCAGAUUUCCUGUUUGGAGGUUGCACUGAGGAAGCUGGGAUCCUGCCUUCCGUUCCUCCGGGUGCAUCGAAUACAGACUCUCACUUCAAAGAGGAUCCUGGAGCUUUGGCCCUCACGUGAUGUCAUCAUUUGUGAUCCUUGACAUGGAGGCCAUAUAUGGUGGCCCAUUCCCCUUGGAGGAUGUGGGAUUUAUGACAGCCACAGCAUGAUUUCUCACCGAUUCAAACUCAGGAAACCUCAGGAUGCCUUUACACACACUUUGAAUAUUCCACAAGGAAAUACAUCUCAGUAUACAAGGUACCAUGGGGUUGGGUCAAGGUUCUGGAUGUCUGACUGGUGGUAAAGAUGGGAGGGACACCAGCAGUCCCCAGAUGGUCCCCCAGCUUCCCUGGUACCUGCCAAAUUGCUCAUCACCCCAGCUGGGACAGUCUUCCCAGGCCACUGUGGCUGGAUGGCCCCUCAAAGUUAGCUCAAGUUCAGCCCCUUCCAGACCCAUGUGCUACGGAGGGAGUGCAGGAGAAGGACAGACAAGGGGCUGUCAGAUUCUUUUUACUUUUUGGAGACUUUCCUCCCCAGUAGGACGUUCCAGUGGCCUCUGUGGGACAGCUCCCCGAGGCUGGGCUGCUUUCCUGGUCUCCUUGCUGGAGGCAAAACACAGGUUCCUCAACUUCCUGCCCACCACCUGCCCCUCACCAAUCCGACCUGGAAGGUGGGCCAUGGUCAGGCAAGGCCCUUCCUAGGUUGCCCUCUGCCUCACCCUCUCAGUCCAGACAAAGCUCUUGUGGUCAACAGAGCUAGAGAAACUCAGACUCCAGAUCCCGAGUAUUAUGCCUGGACUCAGGUUUAGAAAAUCAAGACCCAAGUUGUGGAUAAGAGUCACAGAGAACAGAAAAUGCACUUGGGGGUGGGGGUUGACAGCAGAAGAUGGGGGCUUGCUGGACACACUUUGAUUGCAACAUGAAGGCAUCAUCUUGCCACACUCACAACAACCUUCCAAGCAUCACCCCAUGUGACAGAUGAGGAAACCGAGGCUCAGAGAGGUUGGAUGGUUUGUCUACGAUGCCACAAUUUGUAAGUGAUGGCUUAGCUUACCUGACCCAGUUAUGUCUGACAUAAAGACCACUGCUUUUAGCCAUAGCUGUAUCUCCUAAAACCCAAAUGUUGCAGCAGAACAAGGAACCCCACAAGGCAGGAUGGAAAAAUUCCCGAAGGUCUAGGUUGCUGAUAGUGGUUCCUUUGGGAAGAAGCUGCUAGAAGAGUGCCCUGGAUACAUACUGUCCUGUAGACCAGCAGACAACAUGUCCUCUGGAUGAGGACUUCUGCUCCCCUGUCCCCAUACCAAGGAAUCCAGUGUCACUGUGUCCUCUUCUCCUCUGGGCUCCUCCCGUGCUCAUAAUUCACCAGCAGUGGGGUUUUAGCCAGGGCUCUCAAUUUAAGCAUGAAGGACCUUUGCCGGGGUGCAUCACAUAGGGAUGAAAACCUCUCCUAGCCCAUUCACAUUCUUGUCCUCAUCUGAGAUGUAGGGCAGCUGUCAGGUGGACAGGCUGGGUGUGUUAUCCCCAGUGUCCAGAUAAGGAGACCAAGUAUGCCACGGGGGCUGAGCCAAGGCCCUGCCUCCUUCACUGGGUCACGUCCCCACCCGAGCCUUUCCACAGAAGGGGCCAAACCACAGGCCACCGAGAGGUAUCAGAAAAGUGACCACAAUCGAGGACCCCAAAGCCCACUCUUAAAUGAGAGAAUAGGGUUUAUUGUCUUACUCAACCACGACCAAGCCUUUCCCCACGUUUAUUGCCCGUCCAAGUCCCUGGUAAAUCUGAGCUCUAACCAAAAGUACAUGUGGCUUUCCCAAAGUGAUGAAGUUGGAAGAAAAUCUGUGGGGAAACAGCAGAGUGUUUAUCAAAUUAAAAUGAAAUACAGGGAAACAGUCACAAUAUGUUAAGUGGGAAAGACAAAGUUUCCCUCUUUUGUACAAGUGUGCAUAGAAAAAUAUCUAGAAGAAAAUGCCACAUGUUAAUAAGUCACCUCUGUGUUUUCAAAAUUUUCAGCGAUUACAGUGUGGAAAAAAAUGGCAACAUUAUUUAGGUAAUUGAUUGGAUUUGAGUUUCUGGUUGGGCAGUAGGGCCCAGCUCUUACCAAGAUGGACCAUGGUUCACAAGGGUGUCCUCCUAGAGUCUAUUUCAAUAAUUCCCUCUGUGACUGUCCACAGGCCAAUCCUGUCUUUGUCUUGAGUUUUGUGGACACUUACUGGCAGCAGCAAGCUUCCUAAGAGGGGGAUGAGUUGAGGGCCAGGGGAAAGACAGAUAUUCAUCAACUUACAUUGGUAUUAGGUUGGUGCAAACAUAAUUAAUUAAUUAAUUAAAAAGCAAUUCAUUACGUUUGCACCAACAUAAUAGCUUAUAUCCAAGGUGGCUGCCAUCCGUUCCUUCCCUUCACAUGUAUAUAUGCAUGCAUGCCUGUGCAUGGGCACGCACACACACACACACACACACACACACCAAACUCCAUCCAAGAUGUGAGUCUAUUCCUUCCCUCCUCUUGAAUAUUGGGUGGUCUAGUGAUUGAUUUAACAAUAGAAUACAGUGGAAAUGGUGUCCUGAGACUUCCGAGGCUAUAGGUCAUGGGAUGCUUUGUAGCUGCCAUGUUGUGAGGAAGUCCAAGCAAGCAACACCCAAGGCCCCCGGAGCAUCCAGCACCCGGCAGAGGGGUGAAGACGCCCUCCUGGAGGUGGAUCUUCCACCUGCAGCUGCCACAGCUAACGCCACGUGGAGCAGAGACAAACCACCUGCAACUUCCUGACCCAUAAACCACAAGCUAUGAUAAAAUGGUUGUUUCGUGCCACUGGGGAUUGAGGUAGUUUGAUAUGUAGUAAUAAUCAACCCAGACACUCACCAAAUAUUCACUGUGGUCUCAGCUGCACGCUCCUCAGCUCUCGUGUGCUACCCGUGAACUUUUUUCUGACUUUCCACUUGUGUUUGUUUCCAUUUAAAAAAAGAAAAACAGAUUCAAACUAAAUUUUUUUUACCUCACUCUUUACAAAAGAAUGUAGUCCCAAGUUACUUCCCAGUUCUUGGGUUUAUCAGACCAGAAGCUCCUUUUGGCUGAGAUUCUGUCUUACAGGGGAAUUGUGGUCCCUUUAACUGGAGGGACUCUUGGCUAUCCUGGUGCUCAGAGCCCUCAUUUACUAGUUCAGGCCCCAAGAGGUUCUGUGCCUUCUCUGAGAUCACCCAGCAAUUUGGGGGCAGAAUAAUUCACACAUUGAAAACCAUGCCAGUGGGAACCAUGCCCCAUGGGAUCAGACGUUGAUGUCCUAAAGCACAGACACUCUCCUGACAAAGGCAGGGACAGCGUUCAAGCAUCUGACUCAAGCCUGUGGAGGGCAGGGAGUGUGACCCAGCGGAAAGAGAACUGUGCUGGGAUCUGGCCCUAGCUGCUCGUUAGAAUCAUAUUACGCUUACCUAUGCCUGCCCCACCCGAGAGAUUCUGAUUUACAUCAUCUGUGUCGAGGCCCAAACAGGACUGAUUUUUAAAAACGUUUUAUUAAAGUUCAAUACACCCACAAAAAA